UACGGAGGGUGCAAGCGUUAUCCGGAUUUACUGGGUUUAAAGGGUGCGCAGGCGGACUGUUAAGUCAGUGGUGAAAGCCCCGGGCUCAACCUGGGAAUUGCCAUUGAUACUGGCGGUCUUGAGUACAGUAGAGGUAGGCGGAAUGCAACAUGUAGCGGUGAAAUGCUUAGAUAUGUUGCAGAACACCGAUUGCGAAGGCAGCUUGCUAUGCUGUUACUGACGCUCAGGCACGAAAGCGUGGGGAUCAAAC
rnacentral:rRNA from 1 species